rnacentral:rRNA from 1 species
AUUGAACGCUGGCGGCAUGCCUUACACAUGCAAGUCGAACGGUAACGGGCCUUCGGGUGCCGACGAGUGGCGCACGGGUGAGUAAUACAUCGGAACGUGCCCGAUCGUGGGGGAUAACGAGGCGAAAGCUUUGCUAAUACCGCAUACGAUCUACGGAUGAAAGCAGGGGACCGCAAGGCCUUGCGCGGACGGAGCGGCCGAUGGCAGAUUAGGUAGUUGGUGGGAUAAAAGCUUACCAAGCCGACGAUCUGUAGCUGGUCUGAGAGGAUGAUCAGCCACACUGGGACUGAGACACGGCCCAGACUCCUACGGGAGGCGGCAGUGGGGAAUUUUGGACAAAGGGCGCAAGCCUGAUCCAGCCAUGCCGCGUGCAGGAUGAAGGCCUUCGGGUUGUAAACUGCUUUUGUACGGAACGAAAAGCCUUCUUUUAAUACAGGAGGGUCAUGACGGUACCGUAAGAAUAAGCACCGGCUAACUACGUG